CUUCAAGGUGUAGACCUUUUAGCCGAUGCUGUAGCUGUUACAAUGGGGCCAAAGGGAAGAACAGUGAUUAUUGAACAGAGUUGGGGAAGUCCCAAAGUAACAAAAGAUGGUGUGACUGUUGCAAAGUCAAUUGACUUAAAGGAUAAAUAUAAAAAUAUUGGAGUGAAACUUCUUCAAGAUGUUGCCAAUAACACAAAUGAAGAGGCUGGGGAUGGUACCACCACUGCUACUGUACUGGCACGGUCUAUUGCCAAGGAAGGCUUUGAGAAGAUUAGCAAAGGCGCUAAUCCAGUGGAAAUCAGGAGAGGUGUGAUGUUAGCUGUUGAUGCUGUAAUUGCUGAACUAAAGAAGCAGUCUAAACCUGUGACAACCCCUGAAGAAAUUGCCCAGGUUGCUACAAUUUCUGCAAAUAGAGACAAAGAAAUUGGCAACAUCAUUUCUGAUGCAAUGAGAAAGGUUGGAAGAAAGGGCAUCAUCACAGUAAAGGAUGGAAAAACACUCAAUGAUGAAUCAGAAAUUAUUGAAGGCAUGAAAUUUGAUCGAGGCUAUAUCUCUCCAUAAUUUAUUAACACGUCAAAAGGUCAGAAAUGUGAAUUCCAGGAUGCCUAUGUUCUACUGAGUGAAAAGAAAAUUUCCAGUGUCCAGUUGAUUGUACCUGCUCUUGAGAUUGCCAAUGCUCACCAUAAGCCCUUGGUCAUAAUUGCUGAAGAUGUUGAUGGGGAAGCUCUAAGUACACUCAUUUUGAAUAGGUUAAAAGUUGGUCUCCAAAUCGUAGCAGUCAAAGCUCCAAGUUUUGGUGAUAAUAGAAAGAACCAGCUUAAAGACAUGGCUAUUGCUACUGGUGGUGCAGUGUUUGGAGAAGAGGGGUUGACCCUAAAUCUUGAAGAUGUUCAGCCUCAUGACUUGGGAAAAGUUGGAGAGGCCAUUGUGACCAAAGAUGAUGCCAUGCUCUUGAAAGGAAAAGGUGACAAGGCUCAAAUUGAAAAACGUAUUCAAGAAAUCAUUGAGCAGUUAGAUGUUACAACUAGUGAAUAUGAAAGGGAAAAACUGAAUGAACAUCUGGCAAAACUUUCAGAUAGAGUAGCUGUAUUGAAGGUUGAUGGGACAAGCGAUGUUGAAGUAAAUGAAAAGAAAGAGUUACAGAUGCCCUUAAUGCUACGAGAGCUGCUGUUGAAGAAGGCAUUGUUCUGGGAGGGGGUUGUGCCCUGCUUCGGUGCAUUCCAGCCUUGGAUUCAUUAACUCCAGCUAAUGAAGAUCAAAAAAUUGGUAUAGAAAUUGUUAAAAGAACACUCAAAAUUCCUGCGUUGGCCAUUGCUAAGAAUGCAGGUGUUGAAGGAUCUUUGAUAGUUGAGAAAAUUAUGCAAAGCAAUAGCUUAAAGUAG